rnacentral:lncRNA from 10 species
GGGCUGCAACCUGACUUAACAGGAGCGGAGCGCAAGUCGGCCUAGCCAAUGCGCAUGCGCGGUGCACGAGCUGAUUUCUCAAGGCACAGUGACUCCCACCGUCGCUCGAGUGAUGGGUCCAUGAGGCUGGGCGAAGCAGGAGCCCACUGUGGCAGUGCGUCGGUAUCGAGGCUCCAGCCUGACCUCUCCCAGGGGUCAACAGGAUGGUCUCCGGACGCCAGGAGUCGCGGAGGGCCGACCAGGUUUGUGAAGGCCGGUUCGACCUGGGGAGCUGCGUUGGUCCCACAGGGAUUGAAACCUCCCCAUCCUGAGCGUCCUACUUUCGAGGAUCAAGACAACCACACCACACCCAAGGACCAAAGCCUCCCAGGAGCUUAUUGUCCUGCAGGAGUGCGUGCAGACCAACAUCAAAGAAGAUGGUUCUAACUCCUCCCACCUCCCACCUUCUCCUCUCAUUAAGAAAUGUAGCCCCACCGCGACAGUCUUGGAGAAGAAGCCGGGAACGGGACGCGGCAAGGAUCUCUGUGACUUAAAUCUGGCCUUUCUGGCCCAGUCUCCCAUUUGGCACUUCUUCCUGGAUGCGCAUGGUAGUGGCAUUGUGCUGUAUCCUGCCUGGGCUGUGGCCUCUGCUCUGUACUCCCUCUUGCUCUAUCUGCCAUAGGAGCCUAGAGGCUUGGUCUGGCUUAAAGUCUUCAACAAAGAA